UUACGUCCAUAUCACAUUCAAAUGCCGCUUCUCGUACGAUCACUGAAGUUAAGUAACGUCGAGCCUGGUCAAUACCAAGAUGCUUGGCCACUUGGGAAUUCCAUGUGCUGUAA